AUGGCUUACUAUUCAGAUCAUCUGGCUUAUGUGAGCAACACUACAAACAACAUGGAAAGUAUUCAAGAACUAAUAAGUAAGAUUUCCCAUCAAUUAGAUGAUUUAGCUCAGCAGCGAGGAGUAGUUUUUGAGGAUAGGCCUGGUUCUUAUUAUCCUUAUUCCGGAGGCAAUCCUUAUGUUGCUCCUACAUGCCAUAUUUGUGGAUUUCAGGGCCAUUCGCCCGCCGAAUGUCAGCGUGGUUAUUCUCACAUUCCAGAUUGUUUUGGCAUGAGCUUCUCUCAAGAGCAUAGCUCAUACCAAAACAAUUACUCACAUGGGUGGCCUGAAAACCCGAAUAUGUCAUAUAGGAGCAACAACCCUGAGAUCUCACCGUUUGCUUCUUGUAAUCAUAUGCAGGGAUUUAGGUAUGAAGAGGAGAGCCACAAUUAUGCUCCACAACAGUCCUAUUCAGCUCCUAUUCAUAUACCUUAG
rnacentral:rRNA from 1 species